rnacentral:rRNA from 1 species
CCUACGUGCUGCAGCAGUGGGGAAUAUUGGACAAUGGGCGAAAGCCUGAUCCAGCCAUGCCGCGUGUGUGAAGAAGGCCUUCGGGUUGUAAAGCACUUUCAGUGGGGAAGAAAGCCUUGGGGCUAAUACCCUCGAGGAAGGACAUCACCCACAGAAGAAGCACCGGCUAACUCCGUGCCAGCAGCCGCGGUAAUACGGAGGGUGCGAGCGGUAAUCGGAAUUACUGGGCGUAAAGCGCGCGUAGGCGGUCUGAUAAGCCGGUUGUGAAAGCCCCGGGCUCAACCUGGGAACGGCAUCCGGAACUGUCAGGCUAGAGUGCAGGAGAGGAAGGUAGAAUUCCCGGUGUAGCGGUGAAAUGCGUAGAGAUCGGGAGGAAUACCAGUGGCGAAGGCGGCCUUCUGGACUGACACUGACGCUGAGGUGCGAAAGCGUGGGUAGCAAACAGGAUUAGAUACCCGGGUAGUC